GGAUGGGUGGCCGAGCGGUUUAAGGCACCGGUCUUGAAAACCGACGUGCGCGCAAGUGUACCGUGGGUUCGAAUCCCACCCCAUCCG
rnacentral:tRNA from 1 species